CGAAAGCUACGACUAUCUUUGUUCAAACAUCAUCGCCAAUAGCUUUUGGACUAUCACAGCAGUGGAACACGCAUGAAGUAUAGAGUUGGAGCUAGCUAUCUGUACCAGCUGAUGUAGCAUGUGGGUCCCACAAUAAAUCACCAAUGGAGCUUUGCCACGUCGACUUUUUUUUUUUUUUUGAAGCACCGGCAUCUCGCUACAUUCAGCCGUGGAUACGUCUAGAAUAAUCACAGUAUAAGAUACGCCUUAGUGCCACCAGCAUGUGCUCCAAAGCCUCCGAUAAGACGGCCCUAGAGUGGUGUGCUGCAAAGAGGCGAUUCAGUCCCCCGCAUUAUUCGCCUUUCGAAAGACAUGCGUGACUCGGAAGGAGUCUAACUCCCCCUACAAAUGACAGAUAUGAUAGACUACAGGGUGCAAAUCUGGCCUAGCACGUCCGCUCCGAAUUCAAUCGACCACUGUAGCCAAGUCUCCCUCAAGAAGAACCCAUCAAGCAUCCAGGUACACUCUGCCAGAUCGUGGCGCUUUCACGCCGCACACAGCUUUGCUUAUGUUUGCGCACCUUGCAUGGCUCGUGGGACCCACUUUAAUGUCGUCAAUUGCUCGUGACACCAGGUGGCUGUUGGCUGUUCGAGAAGAGACAUCUAGGCUGGAAUAACCCAAAGUCCGAUGGCCUCAUGAAGACGUUGAAGGGAGCGGUGGACU
rnacentral:lncRNA from 1 species